rnacentral:piRNA from 1 species
UGGGAUGUCUCAACAGAGACCUGUGUC